CAGUAGCCGCGGUAAUACGAAGGGUGCAAGCGUUACUCGGAAUUACUUGGCGUAAAGCGUGCGUAGGUGGUGGUUUAAGUCCGUUGUGAAAGCCCUGGGCUCAACCUGGGAAUUGCAGUGGAUACUGGGUCACUAGAGUGUGUCAGAGGAUGGUGGAAUUCCCGGUGUAGCGGUGAAAUGCGUAGAGAUCGGGAGGAACAUCAGUGGCGAAGGCGGCCAUCUGGGACAACACUGACGCUGAGGCACGAGAGCGUGGGGAGCAAACAGGAUUAGAUACCCCAGUAGUCCCUGUCUCUUAUAC
rnacentral:rRNA from 1 species